GAUAAACGCUGGCGGCGUGCAUAACACAUGCAAGUCGAACGAUGAAGAUUAAAAGAUUUCUUCGGAAUGAACUUAAUUGGAUUAGUGGCGGACGGAUGAGUAACGCGUGAGUAACCUGCCUUGUACAAGGGGAUAGCCGGUGGAAACGACGAAUAAUACCCUAUGACAUCAAAUAAUCGCAUGAUAAUUUGAUCAAAGAUUUAUCGGUAUAAGAUGGACUCGCGUCUGAUUAGCUAGUUGGUAGAGUAAAAGCCCACCAAGGCAACGAUCAGUCGCCGGCUUGAGAGAGUGUACGGCCACAUUGGGACUGAGACACGUCCCAGACUCCUACGGGAGGCAGCAGGGGGGAAUGUGGAACAAUGGGGGAGUCCCUGAUGCAGCGACGCCGCGUGAUUUAGAAGGCCUUCGGGUUGUAAAAAUCUUUUGUAUGUGAAGAAAAUGACAGUACCAAACGAAUAAGGCCCGGCUAAUUACGUG
rnacentral:rRNA from 1 species